rnacentral:lncRNA from 1 species
UCCCCGCCCCCACAAUCGUGCCUUGGGGGCGGGGGCGGCUCGCUGGGGCCGAUUUUCGGGGGUCUUCGAGUGCCCGUUUGUCUGUCGUGGUCCACGUCGCCCUCCCUAGGGUCCCUUCACGCAGCGGGACCCCUCCCCUGGAUAAAUUCAGAUUUUUCCUGUGGAAACUGAAACUUACCCUAAGGAAAAACACUACUCCUGGCAGUUAAAAUUCAGAAACACAUCUCAUGUAUGAACUAAAAUGUGGAUCUCCCAAGGAAAAAACGAUUUCUUUGGUGGUCAAGUUCGGUAAACUGUUUCGCCUGUGAGGUAAAAUGUGGACUUACCUAGCAAAAAUAUUUCCCCUCCUGGUUAAAUCCAGAAAAAAAAUCUCAGGUAUGAACUGCACUUUGCUUUUAAUAAGCAAAGAUAUAACUCUUGGCAGUCACAUACGGGUACAUAGCUUGUGUGUAGACUAAAUUAUGAAUUUAGCAAAAAGUUGCCACUUUGCAGUGAGGUUUAAUAAAAUAUUUUUUAUUUCA